rnacentral:rRNA from 1 species
CAUCGCCUCUUGCAAGCAAAUGAAUAAGAGGUCCCGCCUGCCCUGUGACCCACCAUAGUUUAACGGCCGCGGUAUUUUGACCGUGCGAAGGUAGCGCAAUCACUUGUCCUUUAAAUGAGGACCUGUAUGAAUGGCAUAACGAGGGCUUAGCUGUCUCCCCUAUUUAGUCAAUGAAAUUGAUCUCCCCGUGCAGAAGCGGGGAUAGCACCGUAAGACGAGAAGACCCUAUGGAGCUUCAGACAAUCGAACGGCCCAUGUUGGGCAACUCAACACAAAUAAGUUGACCCUUAAUGAAGCCCCCGUUUCUAUGUCUUUGGUUGGGGCGACCAUGGGGAAAAGAAAAACCCCCAUGAGGACCGAGGGCCCAUCCUCCCCUCAUAACCAAGAGCCUACCACUCAAGGAAUCAGAACCUCUGACCCUACUGAUCCGGCCACCCGCCGAUCAACGAACCGAGUUACCCUAGGGAUAACAGCGCAAUCCCCUCUCAGAGCCCAUAUCGACGAGGGGGUUUACGACCUCGAUGUUGGAUCAGGACAUCCUAAUGGUGCAGCCGCUAUUAAGGGUUCGUUUGUUCAACGAUUAACAGUCCUACGUGA